UACAGAAGAUAAUUACAUGUAUCAUAAUGUAUUAUUAUAUGAUGUUUCUGAAUUAGGCUGAAAAUAUUACGCCUAUGUGUAAUAAGAAAUAUUACUUUCUGUCAUUGAUUAGUUGCUAUAUGAAUUAAAGUAAUACAAAUCUGAACACAUUUUGAUUGAUUCAAGUCAACAUUUAAUGUUAUAACAAAAAUAAAAAUAAAUAAAAAAUAACAAUAUACUUUAUAUAUAAUUAUCAGUUAUUUCAUUAUGAGUUCAAAGAAAUUAUUCCUUGAAAUAAAAAGAAAUAUCAAUCUGUCCGUCAACACACAUAGAAAUAAUAAUAAAUUGUCUUAUAAUAAUAUACAACCCGUGUACUCAUGAUCUGAAAUACUUAGAAGCCACAACAACAGCACACACACCUCGAUUCUCAUUGAAUAGAUGCCUCCACAAUUUCUAAUGCUGAGAGUUCUUGCACACCUACAAGAGAACUAUCACCAACUAAAGUAUGGCCACUAUCUUUGUGGUCAGAAAUGAAGUCGCUGUUGUAGCUGACCUGCUCAGCAUGGACAUACUGACCGUUCUCUGCUUCUGUAAGCUGGCUUUCACUGCUGCUGGGGAUGAGUUGGUCAGAGUCACUUUCUUGAGAAAUUACCUGGGUCUCCACAUCAACGUGAAGCAAUUCCCCAUCUGGGAUCAUCAUCUGGACAUCAGCUCCUACUGAACUAAUAAACUGACUGUCCUGCUUUGCACCUUUAACUAAGGCCAUCUGAGUUUCUACUUGACUUCUUGAAGGCAUCAAAGGAAUGUUUGCGCUGGUUGAACUAUCACACACACUGGGAGACUGACAACAAAGAUAGAAAAAAAACAAAUAGGUUCCUAAUAUCAAAUUGUUCCUAUUUCACAGUAUCAUUUCUCUCAAACGUAAAAUGUCACAGACCGACAGAAUUUCUUUUAAUAUUAACCAGUUAAUCUUCUAAUUAACUUAAAUACUCAUUAAAUAAACAUUAAGCUUAUAUUUUGUUUCUGGAAGCUCGGUUGCUGAGUGGUAAAGUGCUUGACUUCCAAACUGGGGGUCCGGGUGCAAAUCCUGGUGAAGACUGGGAUUUUUUAUUUCAGGAUCUUAAGGGCACCUCUUGAGUCCACUCAGCUCUAAUGGGUACCUAACAGAAGAGGAAAAGUAAAGGCGGAUGUUCACACUACAUCCUUGUUAACCAUGGGCCACUGAAACAGAUGAUCUUUACAUCAUCUGCUCUAUAGAUCGCAAGAUCUGAAAGGGGAAC